rnacentral:tRNA from 1 species
GGCCGCGUACCCAAGUGGCUAAGGGGGCGGACUGCAAAUCCGCUAUCAUCGGUUCGAUUCCGAUCGCGGCCU